GAUGAACGCUGGCGGCGUGCCUAAUACAUGCAAGUCGAGCGAACAGAUAAGGAGCUUGCUCCUUUGAAGUUAGCGGCGGACGGGUGAGUAACACGUGGGUAACCUACCUAUAAGACUGGGAUAACUUCGGGAAACCGGAGCUAAUACCGGAUAACAUUUAGGACCGCAUGGUUCUAAGGUGAAAGAUGGUUUUGCUAUCACUUAUAGAUGGACCCGCGCCGUAUUAGCUAGUUGGUAAGGUAACGGCUUACCAAGGCGACGAUACGUAGCCGACCUGAGAGGGUGAUCGGCCACACUGGAACUGAGACACGGUCCAGACUCCUACGGGAGGCAGCAGUAGGGAAUCUUCCGCAAUGGGCGAAAGCCUGACGGAGCAACGCCGCGUGAGUGAUGAAGGGUUUCGGCUCGUAAAACUCUGUUAUUAGGGAAGAACAAAUGUGUAAGUAACUGUGCACAUCUUGACGGUACCUAAUCAGAAAGCCACGGCUAACUACGUGCCAGCAGCCGCGGUAAUACGUAGGUGGCAAGCGUUAUCCGGAAUUAUUGGGCGUAAAGCGCGCGUAGGCGGUUUCUUAAGUCUGAUGUGAAAGCCCACGGCUCAACCGUGGAGGGUCAUUGGAAACUGGGAAACUUGAGUGCAGAAGAGGAAAGUGGAAUUCCAUGUGUAGCGGUGAAAUGCGCAGAGAUAUGGAGGAACACCAGUGGCGAAGGCGACUUUCUGGUCUGUAACUGACGCUGAUGUGCGAAAGCGUGGGGAUCAAACAGGAUUAGAUACCCUGGUAGUCCACGCCGUAAACGAUGAGUGCUAAGUGUUAGGGGGUUUCCGCCCCUUAGUGCUGCAGCUAACGCAUUAAGCACUCCGCCUGGGGAGUACGACCGCAAGGUUGAAACUCAAAGGAAUUGACGGGGGCCCGCACAAGCGGUGGAGCAUGUGGUUUAAUUCGAAGCAACGCGAAGAACCUUACCAAAUCUUGACAUCCUUUGAAAACUCUAGAGAUAGAGCCUUCCCCUUCGGGGGACAAAGUGACAGGUGGUGCAUGGUUGUCGUCAGCUCGUGUCGUGAGAUGUUGGGUUAAGUCCCGCAACGAGCGCAACCCUUAAGCUUAGUUGCCAUCAUUAAGUUGGGCACUCUAGGUUGACUGCCGGUGACAAACCGGAGGAAGGUGGGGAUGACGUCAAAUCAUCAUGCCCCUUAUGAUUUGGGCUACACACGUGCUACAAUGGACAAUACAAAGGGCAGCUAAACCGCGAGGUCAUGCAAAUCCCAUAAAGUUGUUCUCAGUUCGGAUUGUAGUCUGCAACUCGACUACAUGAAGCUGGAAUCGCUAGUAAUCGUAGAUCAGCAUGCUACGGUGAAUACGUUCCCGGGUCU
rnacentral:rRNA from 1 species